rnacentral:rRNA from 1 species
UGGGGGAUAUUGCACAAUGGAGGAAACUCUGAUGCAGCAACGCCGCGUGAAGGAUGAAGGUCUUCGGAUUGUAAACUUUGUACUUGGGGACGAUAAUGACGGUACCCAAGCAGCAAGCUCCGGCUAACUACGUGCCAGCAGCCGCGGUAAUACGUAGGGAGCAAGCGUUGUCCGGAUUUACUGGGUGUAAAGGGUGCGUAGGCGGCUAUGCAAGUCAGUUGUGAAAACUAUGGGCUCAACCCAUAGCCUGCAAUUGAAACUGCGUGGCUUGAGUGAAGUAGAGGUAGGUGGAAUUCCCGGUGUAGCGGUGAAAUGCGUAGAGAUCGGGAGGAACACCAGUGGCGAAGGCGACCUACUGGGCUUUAACUGACGCUGAGGCACGAAAGCAUGGGUAGCAAACAGGAUUAGAUACCCUGGUAGUCCAUGCCGUAAACGAUGAUUACUAGGUGUGGGGGUCUGACCCCCUCCGUGCCGGAGUUAAGCACAAUAAGUAAUCCCACCUGGGGGAGUACGACCGCAAGGUU